rnacentral:lncRNA from 1 species
AUACAACCCUAGAGAAAGUCUUGUACAUGUGCUCUAUAAACACACAGCAGAAUUUUUUUUAACUUUUUAUUGAGUUAAAAAAUAUAUAUAUAAUUUACCAUCUGUACAUUUUUAGAGGACAGUUUAGUGGUGAUAAAUACAUUUAUAUUUUCUUCUCUUAAUCUCCUCUUCCCACUCCCCUUGCUGGCCUCUAGCAACCAUCAAUUUACUUUCUAUCUUCAUGAGAUCCACUUUUUUACUGCCCACAUAUGAAUGACAUUGUUGCGCUUGUACAGUUGUUUAUUUAAAAACAUUGGCGAAAACAAAAAUUGUAUGUUUCCCAAUUUCUUAAAUACAAUGCAACUUUAUGUUUAAUUUAACUAACUUAAUUUUUUGAGACAAGGUCUAGCUCUGUUGCCCAGGCUGGAGUGGCGUGGCGUGAAUAUUCUCUGCUGCUGCUGGCAAAUUGGGCACUCAGCAGUGGCCACAGACAGUUCAGCCUUGGUGAGUGGAAGUCCACAUUGCUGAAUCCAUGCAUAGCCUCCAUCCCUGCCACCAUGGCCGCUAUGUUCAUGGGCUCAUUGGACAAUGACAGGGGUACAACACUCACACAGGGUACAAAUAUCUUCAGUUUUUGACCAGAGAGGUCCAUCUACAUACUCUUUCUCCAAGUUUCUUUGUCACCAAUUUUCCAAUCAUGCUUCCUCCAAGUCCCUGACCAUCCAGCCAAACCAUUGACUACAGCCCAUGAAUCAGUAUAUAACCGCACAUCUGGAAAUUUCUCCUUCC